rnacentral:tRNA from 1 species
GCCUUGAUGGUGAAAUGGUAAACACGAUUAAUUCAAAAUUAAUAACUUCGAAAGAAGUCUGGAGGUUCAAUUCCUCUUCAAGGUAC